rnacentral:rRNA from 1 species
UAGGGAAUCUUCCACAAUGGACGCAAGUCUGAUGGAGCAACGCCGCGUGAGUGAAGAAGAUCUUCGGACCGUAAAACUCUGUUGUUAGAGAAGAACACGAGUGAGAGUAACUGUUCAUUCGAUGACGGUAUCUAACCAGCAAGUCACGGCUAACUACGUGCUAG